rnacentral:rRNA from 1 species
CUGCCCUAAAGUCUGGGAUACCACUUGGAAACAGGUGCUAAUACCGGAUAACAACAAUAGCUGCAUGGCUAUUGCUUAAAAGGCGGCGAAAGCUGUCGCUAAAGGAUGGACCCGCGGUGCAUUAGCUAGUUGGUAAGGUAAUGGCUUACCAAGGCGACGAUGCAUAGCCGAGUUGAGAGACUGAUCGGCCACAUUGGGACUGAGACACGGCCCAAACUCCUACGGGAGGCAGCAGUAGGGAAUCUUCCACAAUGGGCGAAAGCCUGAUGGAGCAACGCCGCGUGAGUGAAGAAGGUUUUCGGAUCGUAAAGCUCUGUUGUUGGUGAAGAAGGAUAGAGGUAGUAACUGGCCCCUAUUUGACGGUAAUCAACCAGAAAGUCACGGCUAACUACGUGCCAGCAGCCGCGGUAAUACGUAGGUGGCAAGCGUUGUCCGGAUUUAUUGGGCGUAAAGCGAGCGCAGGCGGAAAGAUAAGUCUGAUGUGAAAGCCCCCGGCUUAACCGAGGAAUUGCAUCGGAAACUGUGUUUCUUGAGUGCAGAAGAGGAGAGUGGAACUCCAUGUGUAGCGGUGGAAUGCGUAGAUAUAUGGAAGAACACCAGUGGCGAAGGCGGCUCUCUGGUCUGUAACUGACGCUGAGGCUCGAAAGCAUGGGUAGCGAACAGGAUUAGAUACCCUGGUAGUCCAUGCCGUAAACG